rnacentral:rRNA from 1 species
UACAGAGGUCUCAAGCGUUGUUCGGAAUCACUGGGCGUAAAGGGUGCGUAGGCGGCGCGGUAAGUCGGGUGUGAAAUUUCGGAGCUUAACUCCGAAACUGCAUUCGAUACUGGCGUGCUUGAGGACUGGAGAGGAGACUGGAAUUCAUGGUGUAGCAGUGAAAUGCGUAGAGAUCAUGAGGAAGACCAGUGGCGAAGGCGGGUCUCUGGACAGUUCCUGACACUGAGACACGAAGGCCAGGGGAGCAAACGGG